GAAAGCCGUGUGAGGGAAAACCUCAUGCACGGUUUGAUGAGGGGGUGGUGAGCGAAAGCUCACUGCCCUACUCUAC
rnacentral:ncRNA from 1 species